rnacentral:rRNA from 1 species
UACGAAGGGGGCUAGCGUUGCUCGGAAUCACUGGGCGUAAAGCGCACGUAGGCGGACUCUUAAGUCGGUGGUGAAAUCCUGGAGCUCAACUCCAGAACUGCCUUCGAUACCGAGAGUCUUGAGUCCGGGAGAGGUGAGUGGAACUGCGAGUGUAGAGGUGAAAUUCGUAGAUAUUCGGAAGAACACCAGUGGCGAAGGCGGCUCACUGGCCCGGUACUGACGCUGAGGUGCGAAAGCGUGGGGAGCAAACAGG